rnacentral:rRNA from 1 species
AGGACGAACGCUGGCGGCGGUGCUUAACGACGAUGCAAGUCGAGCGGAAAGGCCCUUCGGGGUACUCGAGCGGCGAACGGGUGAGUAACACGUGAGUAAUCUGCCCCUAGCUCUGGGAUAGCUCCGGGAAACCGGGAUUAAUACCAGAUACGACCACUUUAGACAUCUUCUGUGGUGGAAAGAACUUCGGCUAGGGAUGAACUCGCGGCCUAUCAGCUUGUUGGUGAGGUAACGGCUCACCAAGGCGACGACGGGUAGCCGGCCUGAGAGGGCGACCGGCCACACUGGGACUGAGACACGGCCCAGACUCCUACGGGAGGCAGCAGUGGGGAAUAUUGCGCAAUGGGCGAAAGCCUGACGCAGCGACGCCGCGUGGGGGAUGAAGGCCUUCGGGUUGUAAACCCUUUCAGCAGGGACGAAGCGAAAGUGACGGUACCUGCAGAAGAAGCGCCGGCUAACUACGCGCCAGCAGCCGC